AUUGAACGCUGGCGGCAGGCUUAACACAUGCAAGUCGAGCGGGGGAAGGUAGCUUGCUACUGGACCUAGCGGCGGACGGGUGAGUAAUGCUUAGGAAUCUGCCUAUUAGUGGGGGACAACAUCUCGAAAGGGAUGCUAAUACCGCAUACGUCCUACGGGAGAAAGCAGGGGAUCUUCGGACCUUGCGCUAAUAGAUGAGCCUAAGUCGGAUUAGCUAGUUGGUGGGGUAAAGGCCUACCAAGGCGACGAUCUGUAGCGGGUCUGAGAGGAUGAUCCGCCACACUGGGACUGAGACACGGCCCAGACUCCUACAGGAGGCAGCAGUGGGGAAUAUUGGACAAUGGGGGGAACCCUGAUCCAGCCAUGCCGCGUGUGUGAAGAAGGCCUUAUGGUUGUAAAGCACUUUAAGCGAGGAGGAGGCUACUUUAGUUAAUACCUAGAGAUAGUGGACGUUACUCGCAGAAUAAGCACCGGCUAACUCUGUGCCAGCAGCCGCGGUAAUACAGAGGGUGCGAGCGUUAAUCGGAUUUACUGGGCGUAAAGCGUGCGUAGGCGGCUUAUUAAGUCGGAUGUGAAAUCCCCGAGCUUAACUUGGGAAUUGCAUUCGAUACUGGUGAGCUAGAGUAUGGGAGAGGAUGGUAGAAUUCCAGGUGUAGCGGUGAAAUGCGUAGAGAUCUGGAGGAAUACCGAUGGCGAAGGCAGCCAUCUGGCCUAAUACUGACGCUGAGGUACGAAAGCAUGGGGAGCAAACAGGAUUAGAUACCCUGGUAGUCCAUGCGUAAACGAUGUCUACUAGCCGUUGGGGCCUUUGAGGCUUUAGUGGCGCAGCUAACGCGAUAAGUAGACCGCCUGGGGAGUACGGUCGCAAGACUAAAACUCAAAUGAAUUGACGGGGGCCCGCACAAGCGGUGGAGCAUGUGGUUUAAUUCGAUGCAACGCGAAGAACCUUACCUGGCCUUGACAUACUAGAAACUUUCCAGAGAUGGAUUGGUGCCUUCGGGAAUCUAGAUACAGGUGCUGCAUGGCUGUCGUCAGCUCGCGUCGUGAGAUGUUGGGUUAAGUCCCGCAACGAGCGCAACCCUUUUCCUUACUUGCCAGCAUUUCGGAUGGGAACUUUAAGGAUACUGCCAGUGACAAACUGGAGGAAGGCGGGGACGACGUCAAGUCAUCAUGGCCCUUACGGCCAGGGCUACACACGUGCUACAAUGGUCGGUACAAAGGGUUGCUACACAGCGAUGUGAUGCUAAUCUCAAAAAGCCGAUCGUAGUCCGGAUUGGAGUCUGCAACUCGACUCCAUGAAGUCGGAAUCGCUAGUAAUCGCGGAUCAGAAUGCCGCGGUGAAUACGUUCCCGGGCCUUGUACACACCGCCCGUCACACCAUGGGAGUUUGUUGCACCAGAAGUAGCUAGCCUAACUGCAAAGAGGGCGGUUACCACGGUGUGGCCGAUGACUGGGGUG
rnacentral:rRNA from 1 species